ACCGUGCAAAGGUAGCGCAAUCACUUGUCCUUUAAAUGAAGACCUGUAUGAAUGGCAUAACGAGGGCUUUACUGUCUCCCCUUUCAAGUCAGUGAAAUUGAUCUGCCCGUGCAGAAGCGGACAUAAAAAUAUAAGACGAGAAGACCCUUUGGAGCUUAAGAUAUAAGCCAACUAUGUCAAUAAGCGCGUUACACGCUUUAAACUCGAUAGCUAUGGCCCACAUCUUCGGUUGGGGCGACAAUGGAGAAAAAUAAAGCCUCCACGUGGCACGGAAAUUUCCCAAAAAUCAAGAGCAACCCCUCUAAAUAUCAGAAUCUCUGACCUACAGAUCCGGCUCCUUGCCGAUCAGCGAACCAAGUUACCCUAGGGAUAACAGCGCAAUCCUCUUCUAGAGUUCCUAUCGACAAGGGGGUUUACGACCUCGAUGUUGGAUCAGGACAUCCUAAUGG
rnacentral:rRNA from 1 species